rnacentral:rRNA from 1 species
AUUGAACGCUGGCGGCAGGCCUAACACAUGCAAGUCGAACGAGUGGCGGACGGGUGAGUAAAGUCUGGGUAACUGCCCGAUGGAGGGGGAUAACUACUGGAAACGGUAGCUAAUACCGCAUUCCAUCGGGUGUGCCCAGAUGGGAUUAGCUAGUAGGUGGGGUAACGGCUCACCUAGGCGACGAUCCCUAGCUGGUCUGAGAGGAUGACCAGCCACACUGUAACUGAGACACGGUCCAGACGCCUACGGGAGGCAGCCGGGGGGAAUAGUGCACAAUGGGGGAUACCCUGAUGCAGCGACGCCGCGUGAGCGAAGAAAGCCUUCGGGUCGUAAAGCUCUUUUAUGAGGGAAGCGGUACCUCAAGAAAAAGCCCCGGCUAACUCCGUGCCAGCAGCCGCGGUAAUUC